GUACGGUGCGAGCGUUAAUCGGAAUUACUGGGCGUAAAGUGUGCGCAGGCGGCUGAGCAAGUCGAGUGUGAAAGCCCCGGGCUUAACUUGGGAAUUGCGCUCGAAACUACUUGGCUGGAGUGUGGCAGAGGAAGGUGGAAUUCCACGUGUAGCGGUGAAAUGCGUAGAGAUGUGGAGGAACACCAAUGGCGAAGGCAGCCUUCUGGGCCAACACUGACGCUCAUGCACGAAAGCGUGGGGAGCAAACAGGAUUAGAUACCCUGGUAGUCCACGCCCUAAACGAUGACGACUAGUUGUUGGAGGAGUUAAAUCCUUUAGUAACGCAGCUAACGCGCGAAGUCGUCCGCCUGGGGAGUACGGUCGCAAGAUUA
rnacentral:rRNA from 1 species